rnacentral:rRNA from 1 species
UAGAGUUUGAUCCUGGCUCAGGAUGAACGCUAGCGGCAGGCUUAAUACAUGCAAGUCGAGGGGCAGCGCAGUGUAGCAAUACAUGGGCGGCGACCGGCAAACGGGUGCGGAACACGUACGCAACCUUCCCAAAACUGGUGAAUAGCCUUUCGAAAGAGAGAUUAAUACACCGUAACUUAAUGAAGUGGCAUCACUUUAUUAAUAUAGCUCCGGCGGUUUUGGAUGGGCGUGCGCCUGAUUAGGUAGUUGGCGGGGUAACGGCCCACCAAGCCUACGAUCAGUAACUGGUGUGAGAGCACGACCAGUCACACGGGCACUGAGACACGGGCCCGACUCCUACGGGAGGCAGCAGUAAGGAAUAUUGGUCAAUGGACGCAAGUCUGAACCAGCCAUGCCGCGUGGAGGAUGAAGGUCCUCUGGAUUGUAAACUUCUUUUAUUUGGGAAGAAAUCCACUUUUUCUAAAGUGGUUGACGGUACCAGAUGAAUAAGCACCGGCUAACUCCGUGCCAGCAGCCCCGGUCAA